UACGUAGGGUGCAAGCGUUGUCCGGAAUUAUUGGGCGUAAAGAGCUCGUAGGCGGUCUGUCGCGUCGGAUGUGAAAACCCAGGGCUCAACCCUGGGCCUGCAUUCGAUACGGGCAGACUAGAGUUCGGUAGGGGAGGCUGGAAUUCCUGGUGUAGCGGUGAAAUGCGCAGAUAUCAGGAGGAACACCGGUGGCGAAGGCGGAUCUCUGGGCCAUUACUGACGCUGAGGAGCGAAAGCGUGGGGAGCGAACGGG
rnacentral:rRNA from 1 species